rnacentral:rRNA from 1 species
UACGGAGGGGGCUAGCGUUGUUCGGAAUUACUGGGCGUAAAGCGCGCGUAGGCGGACCUGCAAGUCGGGGGUGAAAUCCCGGGGCUCAACCCCGGAACUGCCUUUGAUACUGGUAGUCUCGAGUCCGGAAGAGGUGAGUGGAAUUCCGAGUGUAGAGGUGAAAUUCGUAGAUAUUCGGAGGAACACCAGUGGCGAAGGCGGCUCACUGGUCCGGUACUGACGCUGAGGUGCGAAAGCGUGGGGAGCAAACAGG